rnacentral:rRNA from 1 species
GACGAACGCUGGCGGCGUGCUUAACACAUGCAAGUCGAACGGAAAGGCCCUGCUUUUGUGGGGUGCUCGAGUGGCGAACGGGUGAGUAACACGUGAGUAACCUGCCCUUGACUUUGGGAUAACUUCAGGAAACUGGGGCUAAUACCGGAUAGGAGCUCCUGCUGCAUGGUGGGGGUUGGAAAGUUUCGGCGGUUGGGGAUGGACUCGCGGCUUAUCAGCUUGUUGGUGGGGUAGUGGCUUACCAAGGCUUUGACGGGUAGCCGGCCUGAGAGGGUGACCGGCCACAUUGGGGCUGAGAUACGGCCCAGACUCCUACGGGAGGCAGCAGGGGGGAAUAUUGCACAAAGGGCGGAAGCCUGAUGCAGCAACGCCGCGUGCGGGAUGACGGCCUUCGGGUUGUAAACCGCUUUCGCCUGUGACGAAGCGUGAGUGACGGUAAUGGGUAAAGAAGCACCGGCUAACUACGUGC